GUGCAGGUAAAGUUACAGUGUAGCUGUAAAAGUGCUGCAUUGUCGUUCCCCCUGCACAGAGCAAAAUGUUUCUUUUCUAUCCUUGUCUGCUUUGAUUCCACAGCAGACAGGGACGCUUGGUUUCAUACAU